GCGCUUGCUUCAGCAACACAUACACUAAAAUUGGAACAAUACAAGAAAAGUAGCAUGGCCUGCAGGCAAGGAUGGCAUGCAAAUUCAGGAAGUGUUCCAUAUUUUU
rnacentral:snRNA from 1 species